AUACGGAGGAUCCAAGCGUUAUCCGGAAUCAUUGGGUUUAAAGGGUCCGUAGGCGGGCAGCUAAGUCAGUGGUGAAAUUCUGCAGCUCAACUGUAGAACUGCCAUUGAUACUGGUUGUCUUGAAUCGUUGUGAAGUGGCUAGAAUAUGUAGUGUAGCGGUGAAAUGCUCAGAUAUUACAUAGAAUACCGAUUGCGAAGGCAGGUCACUAACAACGUAUUGACGCUGAUGGACGAAAGCGUGGGGAGCGAACAGGAUUAGAAACCCCAGUAGUCC
rnacentral:rRNA from 1 species